rnacentral:rRNA from 1 species
AGCAGCCGCGGUAAUUCCAGCUCCAAUAGCGUAUAUUAAAGUUGUUGCAGUUAAAAAGCUCGUAGUUGAAUUUCGGGGUUAGCAGGUCGGUCGUGCCAUCGGUAUGAACUGGUCUCGCUGAUCCCUCCCUCUUGACGAACUGUGAUGCCAUUAAUUUGGUGUCGCAGGGAAUCAGGACUGUUACUUUAGAAAAAUUAGAGUGUUUAAAGCAGGCUCACGCUU